rnacentral:rRNA from 1 species
UACGUAGGGGGGCAAGCGUUGUCCGGUAUUUAUUGGGCGUAAAGAGCGUGUAGGCGGCCUGGUAGGUCAGCUGUGAAAACUCGAGGCUCAACCUCGAGACGUCGGUUGAAACCACCUGGCUAGAGUCCGGAAGAGGAGAGUGGAAUUCCCGGUGUAGCGGUGAAAAUGCGCAGAUAUCGGGAAGAACACCCGUGGCGAAGGCGGCUCUCUGGGACGGUACUGACGCUGAGACGCGAAAAGCGUGGGGGAGCGAACGAGG